rnacentral:rRNA from 1 species
UUCGCCCUCAAAUCAGGUAGGACUACCCG